ACAGCCGGAUGGGAGUUAUACCGCAGUAGCCCAUUGUCGUAUAUCGGAGAGCGAUGUCAGAUGUACGGACGGUGU
rnacentral:ncRNA from 1 species